GUGUUAUAUAGAGAUGUUAUAUUCAUGUUAUAUUAUAUAUAUUAUAACAUGAAUAUAACAUAUAUAUUUAAAAUGUUUCCUCUUUUCGUCGUUGGCAUCCUUGCGUUCUUUUCAGUUCUUGCUGGUUCUUUCAUCGUGUCAGCGUGUUGUUGCGUGGUAUGGAAGUGCUCUCCUUAUCCAAGAUGCUUCAGAACACUUUCCAUCUCUUUCCUUCUUUCAAAUAAAAAGAAAGGAGAAAAAUAUUUUGAAGUAUUUGGAGCAUCAACGGGAUUGCAGUCAAUAUUAUAUUACUGGAGCUACAGAUGCGAACGCGUGAGCUGCAAAUACUAUAUCACAGCCUGUUGCAGAAAAUUUCCUUAACAGUGGCACGUUGUGAAAAAAAACAGUCACGGACAAGGAGGUGAUGCAGGAGAAGGCAGAGAUAUAUUUCUAAGUAUCGCUUAGAUAAAGUUGUGGCUAAAAUAAUGCAUAAUUAUAUCGCUCACUGAUAAAUAAUAGAGGUUGACCGGAAAGUCUAUGCAGAUUUUUUAGCAAAAUUUUAUAUAAAAAAUUAAUACGAAGUUUUGCGUUCGAAUUUUGUCAGAAAAGUUCACACGGAUCUUCUGCUGAAAAAAACUUUUUAGUAAGAAUUCAAAGUUUUGCGUUCGAAUUUUGGUAAAAGAAUCUGUGCAGACUUUCCGGUCAACUCAAUAUACAUUAUACCUCAAAUAUGUGGAAUUGUAAUCUUUAGUAUAGUAACCGAUAUUUUUUUGAUGAUUCUUUUGAGCGAUAUUUUGAAAUAUGUGAGAUAUAAUUGUUUAUCAUGUUAUUAUUCAUCGUCUCUCUAAAGCAGGUUUUACUUUUUAAGUGAAUAAAAUACAUGUAUGUACUCAUGAUGUUCCGUAUGCAUACGGGAACAAUCCCGGACAGAUGGCAAUCUCGGCCAGUUGGCAAUCCCGGCCAUCACAAUAUCUAUAAAACUAUAACAGUUAUCCGUGUUUGAACAAGUGAGCGACGUGUGUUAACAUCUCCUUUUCCUUCUCCGUAUUCGACUAUUCAAUAUUCGGAACGCCUUCGCUAGUGAUAGAGGUUUGUUUGUUUGGCCAAACGCUGAUCUAAUAUUAUACGAUCGCAACAUAAGAGAUAAAUGUUGCUAAUUUGGAUUUAAAUAUUGUAUUUAUGAUUGUAUGUUUAAGUUAUGUACCAAGCCCUAACGUAGUAAAGUAAUUUCGUUGUUGUCGUUUGUAAAUGUCCUUAAUUAUUAAAAAAUAUUUGUUUUUUUAUUGAAAGACAUUUGCGGUAUAAUCGGGAAAAGGGGAAAGGGAAGAAGAAAGGUAGAAAAACGACAGAAGCGGUAAAGAAAUGUACAAGGAAGGUUUUGCUAGAUAAAAUUGACACGUCUUCAGAAUCUAAUUUCGAUUUAAUUGAUGACAUGGAAAAUCCCAGGAACCGUUGUAUACUUUGCAGUGAAUUUGGAAAAACAAUGAGCUAUGGUACAGAUGUACUUUAUAUGGAUUGUGGGCCUAUCAACAAUGUACAGGGUGGGACACAUCAGAUGGUUAUACGUGCGAAAGCUGCAAGGAGUAUCGCUAGCCGGUAUUGUCUUCAUCCUUGGCCGGAAUUGUCAUCACUUGUCGGCAAUGCUGAUCAAAUCUCUUUUUUUUCAAUAAUGUAUAAACCCAAGAAAAUAUAAAUCAAAGAGUUUAUUUUGUUUUGAAUUAUAUUACAGUACGUAGUUGCAAAUACAGUAUGUAGUUGCAAAAAGAUUUCGGUCCGACCAACAGACUAAGCCAGAGACAGUUGAAACAUUUGAAUUUAAUCUUAGAUUUACUCUGGCAUACAAUUUCUUGUUAACAUAAUAAAGUUGUGAUGAUUAUGUUUUCUUUUAAAGCCUGUAAGACUUAAGUGGCCGGCAUUACCCCCUUUUCCCCUACGUUUUAUAUUUGUUAACUAACAUUCCACAUAAUCUGUCAACUAAUAUUCCACAUAUCUUUCAUUUCUACAUAUCAACUAGAUAUCUUUAAUAUAAGAUGUAAACGAUCAUUUUUUGACGCAUUUCAAUUUUGCAAUAUAAAAUACAUGUAAUAAUAAAGUUUAAAAAAUAAAAU
rnacentral:lncRNA from 1 species